GAGUUUCAGUCUGCGAAUGUAACAGACAUACGUCCACAAUUUAUCCUACCAAUCUAAUACUAUCUAACCAAAUCAAAUUUCCUCUAAAGUAUCGAAAUCAAUAAUAGGAGUUCAACUUCCCUAGUCAGCCGAAGAUACUGACCCAAAAGACCCAGGAUUGUGUCAAGAUCGACAGUUGAAGGAUGAAGGAGAAAUAGGAGAACGAAACGCCGACAAAGCUGAGAAGGAAAGUCGGUGGUGGUCGAGUGGCGUGCUGCGAGAUACUCGAGCCCACGACAAAAGUUUCAGUUGCUGGGCUCGUCGACGUUUUUCGGGAGGGAGUUUAAUCCAUUGCGAGGCAUUACGAGACACUUUGCAAACCUGGAAUCGUUUUGUCGUUUAAAUCAGUGGCUUCCAAGCUCUUCGGGGUAGCAAGAUAGGUGUCUAUUCAUCAAAAGCAUCGGCGAUUCGAAAAACGAGCCAGGACUUUAUAUCGAUAUAAUAAACGUUCUACGAUGCUAGCUGAUUUCGUCCUACACUUUUUAUCGAGCUGCAACAGCGUUUCAUUGUUUUCCCUCCGCAGAAGGCGCGGCUACGUGAGUCAAGAAAGAAAACGACAGGAGGAAUGGAAUAAUUUCUUCAUUGUCCUCGUGAACGUUGAAUUCCAGAUUUAUUAACCGCGUUUCUGCGAUGAGUCGUUCGUGCUCAGCCAGAACGGGGAGGGAUCGGUUGUAAGAAUAACGAUUUAAUGGCGACGAUUUAGAUUCUAAUCUAAAUAGCCUGCCAAGGCUUCUCUGAUCUACCAUUUAAAGGAAAUGAUUUUUUUUUUUAACACCAACUGUGGAGGGAAAAGGUCGAACAAUUGUUCCAAUCUCAAAUUGAAAACUUGUACGAAGAUUUCUGUUGUUAACAAAUAUUGGAUCAUCGAAUCUAACCAACUACUUUUGUAAUUAUUAUAAAAGCGAACAAUUGUAUCAGAGAGUUCAAGGAGGCCAAAAAUAAAGAAAAACGUGAAAUAAUGAAAAAUGUUCCAGUAGAAGGAAAACCUGAUCGAGAGCUCUCGUAAUACUCGAGAACAAAAUUUUCGUGGGCUGAAUCUCAAUGAUCGCGAGAGGCCUUGG